UCGGGAAUAUUGCGCAAUGGAGGAAACUCUGACGCAGUGACGCCGCGUGCAGGAAGAAGGUUUUCGGAUUGUAAACUGCUUUAGACAGGGAAGAAACAAGACAGUACCUGUAGAAUAAGCUCCGGCUAACUACGUGCCAGCAGCCGCGGUAAUACGUAGGGAGCAAGCGUUAUCCGGAUUUAUUGGGUGUAAAGGGUGCGUAGACGGGAAGGCAAGUUGGUUGUGAAAUCCCUCGGCUUAACUGAGGAACUGCAACCAAAACUAUCUUUCUUGAGUGCUGGAGAGGAAAGUGGAAUUCCUAGUGUAGCGGUGAAAUGCGU
rnacentral:rRNA from 1 species